rnacentral:rRNA from 1 species
UCUAGUGGCAGACGGGUGAGUAACGCGUGGGAACCUGCCCAGUAGUAGAGAAUAACUUGGGGAAACUUAAGCUAAUACUUUAUACGUCCUUCGGGAGAAAGCUUUAUGCGCUAUUGGAUGGGCCCGCGUUAGAUUAGUUUGUUGGUGAGGUAACGGCUCACCAAGGCGACGAUCUAUAGCUGGUCUGAGAGGAUGAUCAGCCACACUGGGACUGAGACACGGCCCAGACUCCUACGGGAGGCAGCAGUGGGGAAUAUUGGACAAUGGGGGCAACCCUGAUCCAGCGAUGCCGCGUGAGUGAUGAAGGCCUUAGGGUUGUAAAACUCUUUCGUCAGGGAAGAUAAUGACGGUACCUGAAGAAGAAGAUCCGGCUAACUCCGUGCCAGCAGCCGCGGUAAUACGGAGGGGUCUAGCGUUAUUCGGAAUUACUGGGCGUAAAGCGAGCGUAGGCGGAUUUGUAAGUUGGAGGUGAAAUCCCAGAGCUUAACUCUGGAACUGCCUUCAAAACUACAUUUCUUGAGUUUGGUAGAGGAGAGUGGAAUUCCUAGUGUAGAGGUGAAAUUCGUAGAUAUUAGGAGGAACACCAGUGGCGAAGGCGACUCUCUGGGCCAAUACUGACGCUGAGGUUCGAAAGCAUGGGUAGCGAACAGGAUUAGAUACCCUGGUAGUCCAUGCAGUAAACGAUGAGUGCUAGAUGUUGGGAAUUUAAAUUUCCAGUAUCGCAGUUAACGCGU